rnacentral:rRNA from 1 species
GAUGAACGCUAGCGGGAGGCUUAACACAUGCAAGUCGAGGGGCAGCAUAGGGUAGCAAUACUCUGAUGGCGACCGGCAAACGGGUGAGUAACGCGUAUGCAACCUACCCUGUACAGGGGGAUAACCCGGAGAAAUUCGGACUAAUAUCCCGUAAUAAUAUCCGGAGGCAUCUUUGGAUAUUUAAAGUUCCGACGGUACGGGAUGGGCAUGCGUAACAUUAACUGGUUGGUAAGGUAACGGCUUACCAAGGCUAUGAUGUUUAGGGGUCCUGAGAGGGUGGUCCCCCACACUGGUACUGAGACACGGACCAGACUCCUACGGGAGGCAGCAGUGAGGAAUAUUGGUCAAUGGGCGCAAGCCUGAACCAGCCAUCCCGCGUGCAGGAAGACGGCCCUAUGGGUUGUAAACUGCUUUUCCAGGGAGAGAAACUUACGCACGUGUUGCGUGACUGACGGUACCUGGGAAUAAGCAUCGGCUAACUCCGUGCCAGCAGCCGCGGUAAUCAUA